rnacentral:lncRNA from 1 species
CUUGAAUCAGGGAGGUGGAGAUUGCAGAGAGCUGAGAUCAUGCCAUUGCACUCCAGCAUGGGUGACAGAGCGAAACUCCAUAAAAAAAAAAAAUGUAAGGGCUUGAAAAUAGUUUAUCAUCAUCAUUAAUUUAUUUCUGUAAACUCUUCCCCUUUCCUCUUUCCUCUUAGCAUAAUUGAACUUCCACAUGGAGGUCUGUUCUACUCCUGAUUCGAGUUUUGUAAAUAAUCUUUGUGGUAUUCUUUUGUGCCAAUGACAGCAGUUUAUUCUUCAGUUGAUCUUUUUGCCUCUUCUUCUUUUCCCCCAGCCAGCUUUCAAUGGUUAUAGAGCUUUAGCCUUCUGUGAAGAUAGAAAAAGCAUUCAUAUACUUUCCUUUGCAGAUCUAUCAUCUCCUUUCCAUUAAAGCAAUCCCUUGAUAUACCACAUACUCGAGUCUUAGUCAUUUCUUUCAAUAUGCAAUGCUGACUUGUUGGCAUAAUUUCAUCUCACUUACACAUUUUCAAACACAUUCUUCUCAACCUGAAGUCUGAGUAAGCUGGUAGCAAUGAAGACAAAAACAGUAUUCACCUUCAAUCACCAUAGUGUCCCAGCCCCUAGCUCAGUGCCAGCCAAAUAAUAAGAACCCACAAAUAUUUGGGUAAUGAAUGAGUAAAUGGGCUGUGUGUUGACAAGAGAGUAGCUGAAACGCUAAACUCAUUUGUUUUUUAGUGACAGUUACUAAGUGGGGAGAAUUCCAGGGGGAAUAAUGAUGGAGGACAGUGUGGAGUCUAAAGCCAAUGUGUGUGUGUGUGUGUGUGCGUGUUUGCGUGCAUGUGUGUGUGAGAGAGAGAGAGAGAUGUUCAGAGAUUAGCAGGAAGUACAGUUCAGAAUCAAAUAGCUUAAAGGAAAAGGAGGGAUUGGGACAUCACCCAUGGUAAAGGGUUCUGAGAAGCUACCCUAUUGAUUCAUAGAGGGUGUUCAGAGUCCCGUGUUUUAGUGACCCCAGUUCCACCUAGACCCAGCUCCAGGCAUAAUAUGUUUGACAAAAUGGCAGGACAGUGAAAGGGUCAUUAAAGUACUUUAUUUGUAUCAUGAAAAGAUUGACUUAUAAAUCUUCAUUAAAUAUUUGCCUUCCUAGCCAGACAUAAGCUCCAUAAAGACAGGCGCUGGCCCUCAGGGAGCAAGUGAACUGGCAUGGUGCCUGGCGCCCAGCAGUUCCUUCAUGAAGAUUUCAGAAUGACCAAGUGAGUUGAAUGCACAGCCCAGGCAUCUGUGUUUUCACACCUCUCCAGGGUCUGUUCCAUUAUUCACGUAGAAAAACCUGUUAACUAUUGUGAAGCAGCCUUGUAUCUGUAGCUGCCACACACUUCUCAAUGACCUUCCCUUUCCAAGUUGAGUUUUGCACCAUGUCAACAAGUGGCAGCUUUCUAGCAUCAAAUUGUUUGUCCAGGGUUAUCAGCAUUACUUUCUUUUCUUGUCCUCACUACAAUACACAUGCCCAUCUCAAAUCAGUUCCAUUGUUACUUAGGUAAUAGUAUUGUAGGGUGUCUUUACUUCAGAAAGAAUGAUAUAUUUAGCAAAUGUUACAGAUAUAGGAGGUUUUAAGUGGGACUAAAUGCAGCAAUUAAUGCUAAUGAGUCUGCUGUUAGCAUGUAAUAUUCUUGGUGUUAUAAUCAUGCAUCACUGAAUGCGAAGCCUCAGUUUGUGCAACAGAUGCCGAUCUUAAUGGCUAUAUUCUCUUCCCAUGGAUAAGCUAGCUUUAGUUAAAUGAAUCAUUAAGAAUAACCAUUUAAAAUGUUAAUGAAAACAGUGAUUAUAACCACCAAGAUUUUUUUUUUAACUUCUGGCUCUAUUACUUUUUAUUUUCGAAAGGACUUUGGGAAGGUAAGAAACUUAUUGCCUGUGUAUGUUGUUUUAAACAGAGAAGGCCGAUACAGUUUCUGUUCACAGCAGCCCUGAGGCCGCAUGCCUGUAUUAUUAACACCAACCGUACUUGGAGACUAACUCUCUUUUGUUCUCAUUUGUCAUUUCUUUUAAAUAUUCAUUUAGGGUAUAAGACAGAAUUGGGUAAGUAGGAUCCUUGACAGUCCAACUAGUUGGUAAACAAAUAUUUUGUCUUCCUGAAAGUAUCAUUAUACUAUCGCAAAUUAAGACUGAAAAGGAAAAAAAUACCAGGAUGUUGAUAUUUAAGAAUAAAUACUUUAUCUUUUCAGAACAACAAUAAGAAGGCUGGUUUAGGCUUUAUCGCUGGAAAAUGGAGUUUGUGAAACAAAGAAGUAAUAGAUGCAUAGCAAGAGCUCAGUGUCCUUCCACAUUGUGUCACCGGUUGUACCCUGAGACAGAUUCUCCAAGUCUUAGAACAUGGAUAUGCAGUGAGAGUGAGGUUUACGUAGAAAAGUCUUUGUGUCUUGGGAGUGCCAUGUGUAUUGAAUGUCUAUGACUCAUGUCUCCCCUUGACUCACUUCUUGGCUGGGCUACAUGACUCAUCAGGCCUGGUAGGUUCAGGGCAGUGUAGCUGGUGGGGAAGGGCUAAGUGAAGAGGGGCUGUCUAGACCUGGGGAGCAUGGUUAUAAUGAGCUUUUUCAAACGUACAACUCAACUCUCUUGCACCUAGGAAGUAUCUUCAUCCAGAAGGAGUUCUCAGUCCUUUUUCUGGUCCUGCAGAGCAAAAGAGGAGAGAGAAAAAGAGAAUGAGUUACAUGGGCCCACUGUAUGUUAUAGCUGACUGCUGAUGGUAUCAGAGAUUUUAACACUGCAGUCAACUGCAGACAAAGCCGCAAUCUUGUGACUUCACAGAGCCUCAUGGGCUUUUGAGUUGACCAACUUGAGAAAAAUUUCUGACUUGAUGCAUGAAAUGAAACGAAGGCAGGUGACACAUAAAGGAAAUGACAAGACACGAUUGAAAACUAUUGACCCUCAAGUUAUCACAAAUGGUUAUGAAAUGGAAAUGGAAUGGGAAGGAGUAUGAAAAAAUAAGCUGAAUACUGACAAACCUAAGGUUUCAGAAUCACUGGACCAUUAGACCACAUCAGCACUGGACCCAGCUAAAGGGCAGAGAUUCAGAGAUCCCCAACUGUGACUAGUUGUGCAAGAAGCAUGCAGAAUGAUGAGAAACCUACAGCUCAGAAAAGAAACAAAUCGUCUAUAUGGAAGUCCAGUCUUGCUGUGGAAAGGCUCAGAAAAACAAGACCCUUAGCAUAUCUCAGGGAACUGAAAGGCUGUGGGGAAACCAACAGCUUGCUGCAACCACAGCCACAAGUCAGGUAAGCAUUGAGCCUGACAGCUCAGGAAAAUGACCCACUUCUUGCCAACUCAGACAAAAAGGCUUCACUUAGGCCUAGGGAAACUGUCUCUAAUAAGGCCAUCUGUUAACCGUGUCGCCUGAGUCCCUCUCAGCAAUUCCUCAUUCCCUCCCUUUCCACCUUCCACCCUGAAGCCAGACAUUAAGGCAGCAGAGACUGAGUAAAAUCAAGCUGUUGGGCUCAGUAAACAUUACUGAGCUCCAUGAGGGAACACGGUCCCAUUUUUUAGGUUCCCAUGUCCAAGGCACAUUUUGAUCACAUUCAUUUAGCAGAGAGGUGAAGGAAGAAAGCAUGCUGGCUGUGCAGCAGCAUCGUGCUGCAUCCCCUUGCUUAGGCAAAGUCAUAACAGACAGCAAAAAAUAAGAACUUGGCUACAGUUCCCAAGGGUUUGAACCUGAAUACACAGAACACGAGAAACCACACAACUCAGGAAGAAAGCACUGGGCAAGUGUUCAGAGGCCUUAUUGACAAUGGGCCCGCUCUCCUAUUGACUUGAUUUGUAACACAUAAAGUCACUUAAAUCAGGGGUCCCCAGCCCCAUACUGGUCUGUGCCCUGUUAGGAACCCAGCUGCACAGCAGGAGGUAAGGGGCAGGCCUGAGCUCCACCUCCUGUCAGAUCAGCAGCAGCAUUAGAUCCUCAUAGGAGCGUGAACCCUUUUGUGAACUGCGCAUAUGAAGGAUCUAGGUUGCAUGCUUCUUAUGAGAAUCUAACUAAUACCUGAUGAUCUGAGACUCUAACUAAUACUUGAUGAUCUGAAGUUUCAUCCCAAAACCACUCCCCCUACCCCAGUUUGUGGAAAAAUCGCCUUCUAUGAAACCAGCCCCUGGUGCCAAAAAGUUUGGGGAUGGCUGACUUAAACUUCUAGCAAUGAUCUGUCAAGUCUCUUCAUCUCAUCACAUAAGUCGGCAUGUAAUAUUCACAAAAGACCAAUCCAACCUCUGAAAACGAAAUGCUCAUUUUGGGGAAGUGACUUAACUCUUCCAGCUCAUCUCUGUCCCUCUUAAUAAAAAAGGAAAAAUAAAAAUAAAUAUAAUAAAUAUUAUUUUUAAUACGUGGUUAUUCAGUCUCAGAAUAUUAUUGUACCUUAAAAUGAAAAAAGCUAAUAUAUUGAGUAUCUUUUUCACAUACUUUGGGAAUUAAAAUAACAUCUUUAAUAUUUGGAAAUGAAAGGGAAGAAAGAAAAUUUGAUAUCAACUAUAACCAGGAUCAUUUUAGUGUAAAUAUGUCAAUGGAAAUGAAAAUCCAAAAAUAGAAAUAUGCAAUAAAAAG